GGCCUAUUAGGUCUCGUAAUUGGAAUGAGAACAAUUUAAAUACCUUAACGAGGAACAAUUAGAGGGCAAGUCUGGUGCCAGCAGCCGCGGUAAUUCCAGCUCUGAUAGUAUAUAUUAAAGUUGUUGCAGUUAAAAAGCUCGUAGUUGAAACUUGGGUGCGCAGGGGCGGUCUCUUUUAGAGUACUACCCUGAAACAUCUUUUCUUUGGUGUAAACUCUUUAUUCACUUAAGGAGUGUAAACCAAACAUUUACUUUGAAAAAAUUAGAGUGUUCAAAGCAGGCCUUUGCUCGAAUAUAUUAGCAUGGAAUAAUAGAAUAGGACGUAUGGUUCUAUUUUGUUGGUUUCUAGGACCGUCGUAAUGAUUAAUAGGGACGGUCGGGGGCAUCAGUAUUCAGUUGUCAGAGGUGAAAUUCUUGGAUUUACUGAAGACUAACUACUGCGAAAGCAUUUGCCAAGGACGUUUUCAUUAAUCAAGAACGAAAGUUAGGGGAUCGAAGACGAUCAGAUACCGUCGUAGUCUUAACCGUAAACUAUGCCGACUAGGGAUCGGAGGGCGUUAUAAUAACCUCUCCGGCACCUUACGAGAAAUCAAAGUUUUUGGGUUCUGGGGGGAGUAUGGUUGCAAGGCUGAAACUUAAAGGAAUUGACGGAAGGGCACCACCAGGAGUGGAGCCUGCGGCUUAAUUUGACCCAACACGGGGAAACUCACCAGGUCCAGACACAAUAAGGAUUGACAGAUUGAGAGCUCUUUCAUGAUUUUGUGGGUGGUGGUGCAUGGCCGUUCUUAGUUGGUGGAGUGAUUUGUCUGCUUAAUUGCGAUAACGAACGAGACCUUAACCUGCUAAAUAGCUGUAACAAUAGAUUAUUGUUUUGACAGCUUCUUAGAGGGACUAUCGAUUUUCAAGUCGAUGGAAGUUUGAGGCAAUAACAGGUCUGUGAUGCCCUUAGACGUUCUGGGCCGCACGCGCGCUACACUGACGGAGCCAGCGAGUCUAACCUGUGCCGAGAGGUAUGGGUAAUCUUGUGAAACUCCGUCGUGCUGGGGAUAGAGCAUUGCAAUUAUUGCUCUUCAACGAGGAAUUCCUAGUAAGCGCAAGUCAUCAGCUUGCGUUGAUUACGUCCCUGCCCUUUGUACACACCGCCCGUCGCUACUACCGAUUGAAUGGCUUAGUGAGGCCUCCGGAUUGAUUAACUGGAGAGGGCAACUUUUCUGGUUGAACGAGAAGCUAGU
rnacentral:rRNA from 1 species